AUCCAGUUGACGAGUCCCGAAUAGGACGAAAUGCUACCCUGGAU
rnacentral:hammerhead_ribozyme from 1 species